rnacentral:lncRNA from 1 species
AGGUAAAAAAUAAUAGUUAGCACAUAGGUGGCCAAAUCGCCUGAAUAUGGAAUCUUAGUAACCUGCAGAAUACCUCCUCCUGUCAAAGAGUAUUCAAAGAACAAGAAGACUCUGGAUUCAAUUCUCAGCUCUGCCAUUCACCCCUUAUGAAUUAGGAUGUAUGGAGGGUUCAGGGAGGACUAGUAUCUCUGAUUUCUUUCUCUGGAUGUGGAUAGCGCUCUUUUUCAGAAGUCCUUUGGAAUUGCCUUGGAUCAUUGCACUGCUGUACAUUUGAGCUGCAAUUUGGAAUAAUUAGCACUUCCAGCCUAACAUCUGGAGGACCUUACUACUACCUAUAAGAUAUUCUGCAAUUUAGGAUCCAAAGCACUGGCAAAAAAAAAAAUCUCUGGUGAGGAUUUAUCUUCCCUUUUAGGUCGUGAUUGAUGGAAUAUUCUAAGGUUCAAUGAAUGCAUUUAUAACUGUGGUUACAUCUUUUGAGAAAUCUUAUAUGAUUUUGACAUAUGCUUAGGAAGCACCUUAUUGAAAAAGAGCCUUUAGGGUGGCAUUUGAUCAAGUGCUUUUUAUAGCCAAGAAACAAUAAGUAUUCUUUACCCUUUUUGGAAAAUGAGGAGAGGUAUACACAUAUUGCCAACUAGGAUUUUGAAGAACGGGUU